rnacentral:rRNA from 1 species
GAUGAACGCCGGCGGCGUGCUUAAUACAUGCAAGUCGAGCGAAGCACUUUAACGGAAUUCUCCGGAAGGAAGGUAAAGUGACUGAGCGGCGGACGGGUGAGUAACGCGUGGGUAACCUGCCUCGCACUGGGGGAUAACAGUUAGAAAUAGCUGCUAAUACCGCAUAAGCGCACAGCUCCGCAUGGAGCAGUGUGAAAAACUCCGGUGGUGUGAGAUGGACCCGCGUCUGAUUAGCCAGUUGGCGGGGUAACGGCCCACCAAAGCGACGAUCAGUAGCCGGCCUGAGAGGGUGAACGGCCACAUUGGGACUGAGACACGGCCCAA